AUACACACAUGCACACUUGAAUAAGAUAUUUUUUGACUCACUGUUUGAAUGAUGUCUAUGAAUUUUUAGCAUUUUUUUUCCUCAAUUUAAGACCUCUCUGUCUUUUUCUUUCUCUUUUCAGACUUCCAGCUUCUCCUUUUGGGUUUCAAAUUGCAGUCACAGUUUUCCGGUUAUUUGAACAGCAGUGCAGAAUGAUACAUGAGAAAUUAUGCCUUUGGAAUCCAUUUGUAGCUCACCUCCUCAGUAGGGAUGGAGAAGGGCCUGGACAGAGCUUUCUUCACAUAUUGCAGUAGGAAAU